AGAGUUUGAUCCUGGCUCAGAUUGAACGCUGGCGGCAUGCUUUACACAUGCAAGUCGAACGGCAGCGCGGGGCAACCUGGCGGCGAGUGGCGAACGGGUGAGUAAUAUAUCGGAACGUACCCAAGAGUGGGGGAUAACGUAGCGAAAGUUACGCUAAUACCGCAUACGAUCUAAGGAUGAAAGCAGGGGAUCUUCGGACCUUGUGCUCCUGGAGCGGCCGAUAUCUGAUUAGCUAGUUGGUGAGGUAAAGGCUCACCAAGGCCACGAUCAGUAGCUGGUCUGAGAGGACGACCAGCCACACUGGAACUGAGACACGGUCCAGACUCCUACGGGAGGCAGCAGUGGGGAAUUUUGGACAAUGGGCGAAAGCCUGAUCCAGCAAUGCCGCGUGAGUGAAGAAGGCCUUCGGGUUGUAAAGCUCUUUUGUCAGGGAAGAAACGGUGAAGGCUAAUAUCCUUCGCUAAUGACGGUACCUGAAGAAUAAGCACCGGCUAACUACGUGCCAGCAGCCGCGGUAAUACGUAGGGUGCAAGCGUUAAUCGGAAUUACUGGGCGUAAAGCGUGCGCAGGCGGUUUUGUAAGUCUGACGUGAAAUCCCCGGGCUCAACCUGGGAAUUGCGUUGGAGACUGCAAGGCUAGAAUCUGGCAGAGGGGGGUAGAAUUCCACGUGUAGCAGUGAAAUGCGUAGAGAUGUGGAGGAACACCGAUGGCGAAGGCAGCCCCCUGGGUCAAGAUUGACGCUCAUGCACGAAAGCGUGGGGAGCAAACAGGAUUAGAUACCCUGGUAGUCC
rnacentral:rRNA from 1 species